UAAUUACUCCCUCCGUUCGGAAUUACUUGUCGCAGAAAUGGAUGUAUCUAGACGUAUUUUAGUUUUAUAUAUAUUCAUUUUUUAGACAAGUAAUUCCGAACGGAGGGAGUAGCUU
rnacentral:pre_miRNA from 1 species